GGAGCAAGAAAAGUAUUUUUUUAGCACUAAGGAAGUGAAGUAUCCAAAUGGGAAUAGGUCAAAUAGAGCAACAAAUUCAGGAUAUUGGAAGGCUACUGGAAUUGACAAGCAAAUCAUAUUAAGGGGACGACAACAACAACAACAAUUGAUAGGAUUGAAGAAAACACUUGUCUUCUAUAGAGGAAAAUCUCCACAUGGCUGUAGGACCAAUUGGAUUAUGCACGAAUAUCGUCUUGCCAAUCUCGAAUCUAACUAUCAUCCAAUUCAGGGAAAUUGGGUUAUCUGUCGAAUUUUCUUGAAAAAAAGAGGCAAUACUAAAAAUAAGGAGGAAAACAUGACAACACAUGAUGAGGUUAGAAACAGAGAAAUUGAUAAAAACUCGCCCGUUGUUUCAGUCAAAAUGAGUUCUCGAGAUUCUGAGGCAUUGGCUUCCGCGAAUAGUGAACUGAAGAAGAAGGCAUCCAUAAUAUUUUACGAUUUUAUGGGGAGGAAUAAUUCGAAUGGAGUUGCAGCUUCAACGUCAAGUAGUGGAAUCACUGAUUUGACUACUACUAAUGAAGAAUCUGAUGAUCAUGAAGAAAGUACUCCCACCAAGGCCUUCUGUUGAUAAGCAUACAUAUUCAUCUUCUUUUUUCACGUUCACAACAGAUCCAAAGCCUGGUGGGCUAACAAGUGGAUGCCUGUGGAGGGGAGAGAGAGAGAUUUGUGGGGAGAGUGAGGCGGAGAGAAAAAGAGAGGACCUUUCCCUAGUACGA
rnacentral:misc_RNA from 1 species